UUUAUUACUUUCUUAUAUAAUGAUAUUACAAAAAGUCAGCUAUUUAACCUAUUAUUCAUAUAGAACUUUGCAAGUCUUGCAUUAUUGAGAAAUUUACUUACAAACCAGCUUAAAAAAUUUAUUUUGAAUAAUAACCAUACAACAAAAUUUCUUAUAUUCUUAACCACUUCCAUCAUCCACUAUCAUCACUUAAGCUUAGGCAAUGGCACCUAUCUAUCAAUCAAUAGUGUCAUCGCCCGCUACCAUCGCUUAGGUGAUGACGUCGAUCUAUCUGCAAUGGCACCACUUGAGCGAUGGCACCAUCGCCACAUAGCUGAUGAUUGCAACAAGCAUGAUAGAAAAUUAAAUAAAACUAAUGUUUACAAACUUGCAAAAAAAAAAAAAAAGAUUUAAUACCAUUGAGAAUGGCAGCAAAUUGAACAAAAAUUAAAAAAAAAAUUCUUAAAGGUAUUUUGACAAAAACUUGAUACGCUAUAUUAAAAAAAAUACUAUUUUGUAAAAUAAUUAUCAAUUCUCAUAUCCAAUAUAUAUAUAUAUAUUGCUUAUCGGUUAAUAUUACAAAAAUAAUUCUCCAACAAGCCAUUAAACAAGAUUUAAUCUAAAGAAAACAAUAUAGUAUGAAUAAAAUAUAAUGCUUUUGUUUAUCUAUAGGAUAAUAAAAUAUUGCUUAUCGGUUAAUUGUAUUAUUAUUAUUUUUAGACGGAAGAUUAAAAGUUAACCAAGAACAAAAGUUUGAUAAUUUCCUUAAACCGGGGUCGCUUCCGGUUCGAGUCAGGGACUUAGAGAAGACCGGUGCGAAUCACAUUUUCGGAUCGGAGAAGGAGAAGGAAACAGGCUAUUGACGACGAUGAACGAUGAGUGAGCAGCAGCAAGAGCAGUAAAGUGAAAUAUUGGAAACAGAAAGAAGGAAGCAGAAGCAGAUCCAAAAAUGGAAGCGAUGAAACAAGUGGUGUCAGAGACAUAUUACCUCUCGCAUUUUAUGGCUUUCUUCUCAUAUUUCGUCGUCCGCAGCUCCGCAGCCGCAGUCCUCUCCCCUCACAUCAUCCAUCAUCUCUUUUAUCGGGUAACCUACCAUCUCCCGUUCUCUCGCCUUUCAACAUUUCUCAUCUGAUUUUUAUUUUUAUUUUAAAUUUAUUCUUGCAGGAGAUUCAAGCUGUUCUUGCACUUUCCUUGUUAGCUGCCAUUAAGGUAUACCUUUUACUUCGAAAAACAAUUUGACACAGUUAAUCUUUCUAUAGGAAAAAUUUAAAAUAAAAUAAAAUAAAAAACAAAAAAAGGCACUUUUUUC
rnacentral:lncRNA from 1 species